rnacentral:rRNA from 1 species
CAGGCUUAACACAUGCAAGUCGAGGGGUAACGUGAAGCAAGCUUGCUUGCUUUGACGACGACCGGCGCACGGGUGAGUAACGAGUAUCCAACCUGCCCCUUACUACGGGACAGCCCGGCGAAAGUCGGAUUAAUACCGUAUGUGGUGUGAAGAGGGCAUCUGACUUACACUAAAGAUUCGUCGGUAAGGGAUGGGGAUGCGUCCGAUUAGGUUGUCGGCGGGGUAACGGCCCACCGAGCCCGCGAUCGGUAGGGGUUCUGAGAGGAAGGUCCCCCACACUGGAACUGAGACACGGUCCAGACUCCUACGGGAGGCAGCAGUGAGGAAUAUUGGUCAAUGGGCGAGAGCCUGAACCAGCCAAGUAGCGUGCAGGAAGACGGCCCUACGGGUUGUAAACUGCUUUUAUGCGGGGAUAACUGGGGGUACGUGUGCCCCUUUGCAGGUACCGCAUGAAUAAGGGCCGGCUAAUUCCGUGCCAGCAGCCGCGGUAAUACGGAAGGUCCGGGCGUUAUCCGGAUUUAUUGGGUUUAAAGGGAGCGCAGGCCGGAGGCUAAGCGUGCUGUGAAAUGUAGGCGCCCAACGUCUGAAUUGCAGCGCGAACUGGCUUUCUUGAGUGCGUGGGAAGUGGGCGGAAUUCGUGGUGUAGCGGUGAAAUGCUUAGAUAUCACGAAGAACUCCGAUUGCGAAGGCAGCCCACUGUUGCGUCACUGACGCUGAGGCUCGAAAGUGCGGGUAUCGAACAGGAUUAGAUACCCUGGUAGUCCGCACGGUAAACGAUGGAUGCCCGCUGUUUGCCCGUUUUGGGUGAGCGGCCAAGCGAAAGCAUUAAGCAUCCCACCUGGGGAGUACGCCGGCAACGGUGAAACUCAAAGGAAUUGACGGGGGCCCGCACAAGCGGAGGAACAUGUGGUUUAAUUCGAUGAUACGCUGAGGAACCUUACCCGGGCUUGAAUUGCAGCGGAAGGAUGCAGAGAAUGCUGACGCCCCUCGGGGCCGCUGUGAAGGUGCUGCAUGAUGUUGUCGUCAGCUCGUGCCGUGAGGUGUCGGCUUAAGUGCCAUAACGAGCGCAACCCCUCUCUUCAGUUGCCAUCGGUUCGAGCCGGGCACUCUGGAGACACUGCCGCCGCAAGGCGUGAGGAAGGUGGGGACGACGUCAAAUCAGCACGGCCCUUACGUCCGGGGCUACACACGUGUUACAAUGGGUGGUACAGAGAGCUGGGUGCCCGCAAGGUUGCCCGAAUCAAGAAAUCCAUCCUCAGUUCGGAUUAGGGUCUGCAACCCGACCCCAUGAAGCUGGAUUCGCUAGUAAUCGCGCAUCAGCCAUGGCGCGGUGAAUACGUUCCCGGGCCUUGUACACACCGCCCGUCAAGCCAUGAAAGCCGGGGGCGCCUGAAGUCCGUGACCGCGAGGGUCGGCCUAGGGUGAAACCGGUGAUUGGGGCUAAGUCGUAACAAGG